CGGAGCUUGCUCCACCGGAAAAAGAGGAGUGGCGAACGGGUGAGUAACACGUGGGUAACCUGCCCAUCAGAAGGGGAUAACACUUGGAAACAGGUGCUAAUACCGUAUAACAAUCAAAACCGCAUNGUUUUGAUUUGAAAGGCGCUUUCGGGUGUCGCUGAUGGAUGGACCCGCGGUGCAUUAGCUAGUUGGUGAGGUAACGGCUCACCAAGGCCACGAUGCAUAGCCGACCUGAGAGGGUGAUCGGCCACAUUGGGACUGAGACACGGCCCAAACUCCUACGGGAGGCAGCAGUAGGGAAUCUUCGGCAAUGGACGAAAGUCUGACCGAGCAACGCCGCGUGAGUGAAGAAGGUUUUCGGAUCGUAAAACUCUGUUGUUAGAGAAGAACAAGGAUGAGAGUAACUGUUCAUCCCUUGACGGUAUCUAACCAGAAAGCCACGGCUAACUACGUGCCAGCAGCCGCGGUAAUACGUAGGUGGCAAGCGUUGUCCGGAUUUAUUGGGCGUAAAGCGAGCGCAGGCGGUUUCUUAAGUCUGAUGUGAAAGCCCCCGGCUCAACCGGGGAGGGUCAUUGGAAACUGGGAGACUUGAGUGCAGAAGAGGAGAGUGGAAUUCCAUGUGUAGCGGUGAAAUGCGUAGAUAUAUGGAGGAACACCAGUGGCGAAGGCGGCUCUCUGGUCUGUAACUGACGCUGAGGCUCGAAAGCGUGGGGAGCAAACAGGAUUAGAUACCCUGGUAGUCCACGCCGUAAACGAUGAGUGCUAAGUGUUGGAGGGUUUCCGC
rnacentral:rRNA from 1 species